UAUGGGUAUGCCGAAAACCAUCAGAAAAGAGUAGGCA
rfam:Chitinophaga pinensis DSM 2588, complete genome.